rnacentral:tRNA from 3 species
GCCCGGAUGGUGAAAUUGGUAGACACACAAGACUUAAAAUCUUGCGCUUGAAAGAGCGUGCCGGUUCAAUUCCGGCUCCGGGCA